rnacentral:miRNA from 1 species
ACCCUAUAAUUUUUCAUCCAA